rnacentral:rRNA from 1 species
UACGAAGGGGGCUAGCGUUGCUCGGAAUCACUGGGCGUAAAGCGCACGUAGGCGGAUUUUUAAGUCAGGGGUGAAAUCCCGAGGCUCAACCUCGGAACUGCCUUUGAUACUGGGGAUCUGGAGUCCGGGAGAGGUGAGCGGAACUGCGAGUGUAGAGGUGAAAUUCGUAGAUAUUCGCAAGAACACCAGUGGCGAAGGCGGCUCACUGGCCCGGAACUGACGCUGAGGUGCGAAAGCGUGGGGAGCAAACAGG